rnacentral:lncRNA from 1 species
UGUUUUUGUUUUUGUAUAAUGUAUUUUUAUCAUAUUUUUUCUUGAAAUGUACAAAGAAUCUUAUUUGUUCCAUAGUAUUUUGUGGACAGUAUUUCAGAAGCUGUGAUAGUUUUAGUUUAUCUGCUGUUUUUAUCUUCCAUGCACAGUAUUAUUUGUUUAUUUGUUUGCAAUAUGAAUAUAUUAAGAAUAUAUUUUUAUCACUAUAUUUUAUAUUAUAUUGUACUAUUCCGUUGCUCUUUAAUAUUAAAUGUAUACAGAAAUUGUUGUUUUAUAAGAUAAUAAAAUUUUCUUGUUAAACGAAUUCUAUGUAACAGUAUUACAGCUGCUUUGCUACUCUGGAUAUUUUUCUAAAGUUGUUGGUUCUUUACAUUUUCAGUACACUUCAUAGUAACAUCUUAAGUUAAGUCUUAAAAUGUUUUAGAACAUAUUUACUGAAUUGAAAGAAUGACUUAAUAAUUUCAUUUGUAUGAAUUUGAGAUUUACAUAAAAUAAACAUCACAAGAUCAG